GACCCCUUAAUCCCUUCCCCGCGCCGCCGCCGUCUCGGAGCAUCGCACGGCAGCAAGCCCGUCGCCCCCCACCGCCGCACAGCGACCUCAGCCACUCCGGCCAGGAUGGUCGCGUUCAGUUCCACCAGUACCAGGUGGUCGGGAGGGGCCUGCCGACGCCGACCGAGGAGCAUCCCAGGAUCUACC